UGCCAAGCAACUCCUAUCCCUACCUCCUCGUGGUACUGGCCGGGGAAUGAGUACCCUGAGGGAAGA
rnacentral:ribozyme from 1 species